rnacentral:rRNA from 1 species
GACGAACGCUGGCGGCGUGCUUAACACAUGCAAGUCGAACGGAAAGGCCCUGCUUUUGUGGGGUGCUCGAGUGGCGAACGGGUGAGUAACACGUGAGUAACCUGCCCUUGACUUUGGGAUAACUUCAGGAAACUGGGGCUAAUACCGGAUAGGAGCUCCUGCUGCAUGGUGGGGGUUGGAAAGUUUCGGCGGUUGGGGAUGGAAUCGCGGCUUAUCAGCUUGUUGGUGGGGUAGUGGCUUACCAAGGCUUUGACGGGUAGCCGGCCUGAGAGGGUGACCGGCCACAGUGGGACUGAGAUACGGCCCAGACUCCUACGGGAGGCAGCAGUGGGGAAUAUUGCACAAUGGGCGGAAGCCUGAUGCAGCAACGCCGCGUGCGGGAUGACGGCCUUCGGGUUGUAAACCGCUUUCGCCUGUGACGAAGCGUGAGUGACGGUAAUGGGUAAAGAAGCACCGGCUAACUACGUG